UACUGUGAUGGAACCGUUCAGUAGGUAU
rnacentral:piRNA from 1 species